AUUGAACGCUGGCGGCAUGCUUUACACAUGCAAGUCGAACGGUAACAGGCCGCAAGGUGCUGACGAGUGGCGAACGGGUGAGUAAUGCAUCGGAACGUGCCCAGUCGUGGGGGAUAACGCAGCGAAAGCUGUGCUAAUACCGCAUACGAUCUAUGGAUGAAAGCGGGGGACCGUAAGGCCUCGCGCGAUUGGAGCGGCCGAUGUCAGAUUAGGUAGUUGGUGGGGUAAAGGCCCACCAAGCCAACGAUCUGUAGCUGGUCUGAGAGGUCGACCAGCCACACUGGGACUGAGACACGGCCCAGACUCCUACGGGAGGCAGCAGUGGGGAAUUUUGGACAAUGGGCGCAAGCCUGAUCCAGCAAUGCCGCGUGCAGGAAGAAGGCCUUCGGGUUGUAAACUGCUUUUGUACGGAACGAAACGGUCCGGGCUAAUACCCUGGGCUAAUGACGGUACCGUAAGAAUAAGCACCGGCUAACUACGUGCCAGCCGCCGCAGUAAGAC
rnacentral:rRNA from 1 species